CCGCACUGUUCGUAACCCGGCUCAGCCUCCAUCUGAGCUGCCGGUUCCAUUCCAGUGCCACAGAGACCCCCAGUGAGGCAGGGGAGCCGUGUCCAUCUGCGCCGGCUCCCUGUUCACUCUCUGGGAACACCC
ensembl:snoRNA